UGAGGAAUAUUGGUCAAUGGGCGCGAGCCUGAACCAGCCAAGUCGCGUGAGGGAUGACGGCCCUACGGGUUGUAAACCUCUUUUUGUCGGGGAGCAAAUUCCGCCACGUGUGGCGGAGUCGAGAGUACCCGAAGAAAAAGCAUCGGCUAACUCCGUGCC
rnacentral:rRNA from 1 species